rnacentral:rRNA from 1 species
GACGAACGCUGGCGGCGUGCUUAACACAUGCAAGUCGAACGAUGAACCAGGGCUUGCCCUGGGGAUUAGUGGCGAACGGGUGAGUAACACGUGGGCAACCUGCCCCAGACACCGGGAUAACCUCUCGAAAGAGUGGCUAAUACCGGAUACGACCACUUUGGGCAUCCAACGGUGGUGGAAAGGAUUCUGGUCUGGGAUGGGCCCGCGGCCUAUCAGCUUGUUGGUGGGGUAAUGGCCUACCAAGGCGACGACGGGUAGCCGGCCUGAGAGGGCGACCGGCCACACCGGGACUGAGACACGGCCCAGACUCCUACGGGAGGCAGCAGUGGGGAAUAUUGCGCAAUGGGCGAAAGCCUGACGCAGCGACGCCGCGUGAGGGACGAAGGUCUUCGGAUUGUAAACCUCUUUCAGCAGGGACGAAGCGAAAGUGACUGUACCUGCAGAAGAAGCACCGGCUAACUACGUGCCAGCCGCCGCCGUAACAC